ACAUGUAUCUCCAAGAAAGGGGUUGGAAAUUAAGAGAAAAAAACCUCCAUUGUAAUAUCUCAACAACUACUCCGAUAAGAAAUUCCACCCUUGACACCGCCAUGUGCAGGAGAGCGUGAUUACCUUUGUUAAUUGCUUCCACUAAGUCAUGAUCUAGCAAGAACCAGUAUCGAUUGAUUCUGUCCAGCUGUUGUUGCUUCUUGAAAUCUUGCUCUGAUCUGUUCCCUAGCUGUGUUUCUUUGAUACCCAGGUGAGAUCUUCCUUUCUCUUGCUUGUCUGAUUCCUUACUCCAAGCCGUGCUUCCAUUUCCUUGCUUCUUGCCGUCGUCGAUGGUGGAUUUGGUAUUAUCUAGCGGUCCGUUACUGUUUCCAGUUUUUGUUACCGUUGGAGCCAUUACUGUUAACUUAGCUUGCUGGUGAAUCUUGAUUUCUUAAAAAACAAGCUAAAUGAAAUUGAGAUGGCAUUAAAUCUGAAAGAGCAGGAAAGCACGAAAGGAAAAUGAUUUAAAGACCUCAGUUUUAAAAAAGAAUCCGAUGAUAUAAAUCACAGACUAGCAAAUUUAACAGAGCAAGAGCAUAUGAGUUUAUAUACCUCCUGAUUUUGCAGCCAUUUUGUUUGUCAAAUAUGUUGUAUUUUUGAUUACGGGAUGCUGAGAAUCUUACAAGUGAGCCGGAGAGGAGGGAUAAGGGGUUACUGGCUUUGGCGGAGAAGCUAACACUUGAGCUCUUUUGAAUGGUUUAAAGUCAAUUUACAACCCUCCAGAGUUAUCAAGCGUGCAGUGGCAGCUGAUUACAGUGGAGACGUGUCUCAGAAAUUGAACCAAGUAAAAGGCAGGAAAGUGUAACUUCAUCUGCUCAAACUCCAGGUUAACAAUCUCAGGCGAAACAAGAUAAUUUCUGUGAAUGAUGAGAUAGGCAGAUAUCAUUGCUCUUGGUGUUUCACCUAAUGGCAUAAACUUAUUAAGAGUUUAUGACUUGUAAAUAGCUUGUGGAUUAGUAUGUAUGUUGAUAUUGUACUUUUUUAA